rnacentral:lncRNA from 1 species
AUCUGGGCGCUGGCUGCCAUCCAGGAUCACAGCUCCUAACCUCGGGUUCAUUCCGUAACUGGGAAAACCUGCCUGUCCGGCUUUGAUGGCCUCGCUGGCUACACUGGCCCUGUAGAAGCCUGAACCUUCUCUCUUUUCUUCCAUUCCCUCCUUUUUCUCCUUGGCAGUUUAAAUCUUGGUUCAGAGUGUAUCUCACCCUUGGAAUGUUUCUCUCUUUGAUUCAGUAUCUCCAUGUAAAUCGACCGCUCCUUUACAAAGGAGGAAGAGAUAGCAGCUCCCAGGAGAUGAGGGUUAGGGAGCUCUGGGGACCGGGCUGAACUCCAGAGGUCAUGUGAGCACAGAGGUUAUUGUUCAGAAUAAUUCACAUUUUAGCCAAAUGGACUGGGACUCCAUGACACCCCCAAAAAAUUGAAGUUCAGGGUCAAAAGGAAUUCUCUUAUGUGAAACGAAUUCACUGAGCAGCUUAUAUCAGUUUACAUCUGCAGUUGAGGCA